AAAAACAUGCUGCCAGAAAAAUUCUCAAAAUUUCAACUAGAGUGCACCCUUGAAAAAUGCUAUUUAACAAGCUCUUAGGUUUUAUUAUCAAAUGAGACAUUUUAGCUGCUUCAGAAAGAAAAACAACUUGAAAAAUCUCCUAUUCCCCAUUCAUUUGGUUUUUUUUUUAGCUUAUUUAUGGAUCUAAUUUCAGACUAACUGAAGAUGUCUAACAAGAAGUAAAGGUUUCUAUGCCGUGUUUCUGACAACACAGAGAGCAGGAAAUCUCUGCUACCUGUGUCACCCACUUCCUAACUGCAGCCUCAGGCAUCUCAGUCACUUCAGCCAUCAACAGGAUAACAGUAUAUGUGCAGUAAUGCAUGUAUACAAACCUGUCACAAACCCCUGCAAUUCACCAUGCAGCAAUGGAAACUUUAUGAGCAGCAGAGUCUCAACAGAAAACAGCUUUUCUUUUUGCUUUUGCAGUUGCUUCUGAGAAGCAACAAGGAUAAAUUCCCCUUCUGUGUUUCUCUGCUAGCACAUACCCAUUUUCUUUUCUGCACCUUUUACAUAUGUAAAAAGGUAUAUUUUACAUAUACACCUCUUCAAUGCAGAGCUCUUUUCACAGUACACAAAGAAUGCUUACCCAGGGCAAAAGUCAGGAAGAUGACCCUAUGGCUUGUUUUAGAAAUCAAGCUAAAGAGGUAUAAAUCAGGGGAAAAAAGAGGCAGCGACGUCAUCUUAGCAGGCAGUUCCUACCCAUGCUGCUCUCAACUUGGUUCCUGUAUGAUUAUUAUUGCUCAUAAAUUCUACCAAAUUCUUAAUUCCUAACUGUAUGUUGGUAUGGACUUACUGCCUGGAACACCUGUGAGACUGCACACAAAUAUAGCUCUAUGCAGGCAGGUUUUUCUUUUUUUAGGUAAGGUUGAAACCUCUUCAAGGCAAUGCCUUUGAAUCCCUGGAUCAACUGAAAUUCUUGCUGAGAGUCUGCUAAGCUUCUCACUAGAGCUAGGAAUUUAACCAGCCACCAAGAGCCUCUAAAUCACUGUACUUGAUAGACAAAUUAUUUAAACAGUAACCCAUCUCCUCCAGAGCUUUCUGCUGUUGUUUUAUGCUCAGUUUAAGCUCACAUGCAUGAUAUCACCGCUGAAAGGGGGCUCCAGCAACUCCCAUAUUAUCUGUACAUUGCUGCCUUAUAUAAGUGGUCCAAGCAUACAGGCAACUGAAUGAUAAACCAGCAUGAGGAGAUGCGCCAGCUGAAAAGAGACCUGGGAGAGGGUGGGAGUUUCAUCAAGGAAUAUGUCUGCUUCUGCCAGUAGAAUGAAGGGGUUAGUCUGAAGUAGGAAUUACGUGGCAUCACAUCAUCAGGUUUUAAGAUUUCAUUGUUGUGUUAUACCCCAAACUCUUCCUUCUAUGUUUUACUUCUCCCUUGACUCCAUGAUUCAAUAGCUCCCUCCUCCAGUGUUCCUGUCUGUAGAAAUUAUAAUUAAGAAAACACAUACAGAAAUAACCAACUUGUGAACUUCCAUUUCUCAGCAAACUCACUGUUUUCAGUGCUUUUCAUUCUUUGAAUCUCUUCCUGACAAGAUACAAUGCUAGAGCAUGCAGCCUCUUGUAUCUUGCAAAAAUAUUUGAGUUAAAACUAGGACCAUGUAAAGGUCUUAGGAAAAUCCUGCAAGGCACAGACAAAAAAUAUUCUGAGCAGUGUGAUACUAAGGCCAUGUACCCAGCAUCCCAGGAGACUUUGGUUCCAGUUUCUCUUCUAAAUUAGGCAGAACAUGAAGCUGAACCUGCACUUAGCACAAGUCAGAUGGCCUGUAAGAGACAUAUUGUUAGCAUCCAAGGACGUAUGCAGUCUGUUGGACCAAAAGUCAUCCAAGGAGCCUGUACUAGGUCAGAAGUUUAUGCCAUCAGUGUGCAGGAGGAUCUGUGAGAGGUGGAAGAGUGUCACAUAAGGAAAAAUCUGAAAUCAAAGAAGUCUAAUGGGCUGGGGCAUAAAAACUGUAAUUACUGUUUAACAUAACUCAGUGUUUUGUUGCAAUAUUAGGGAUGGUGAAACAAGUGAAGUCCAAGAAUGACAGCACUAAGACUUUCUGGUGUGAGCUAUUGAUAGUUCACUAAAGUAAGCAGAGUGACGUUGAUUUACAUCAGGUUAUUGCCUGUUUUGGAUAGCUCUGAGAACACAGGUGUCAUUGUAGAAAGGAACAUGGAAACAUUAUUCUGCUCACAGAAACCUGAAUUUACAUUGGGAUCAUGUGUUUGCUGGCUGCCUUAGUGCAAUUAUGCAUGUAGGAGAACAGUUACCUGUUAACUUUGAAACAUUACUGCUGCCACAAGCCAAAUACACUGCAACAAAACCUUCAAGUGUCAUGGAAAAUGAUGAGAUUAGGUAUAGCUACUAUACAGACAUUUUGUCUGAGGUCACCACUAGCAGCUAUUUUUGCCUUUGUGAGAGAUUUAAAUUCCAAUGCAUGAUAUUUAAUGGUAAAUUCUUAAAAUCUAUACAUCUUUUUCACUUGUAGUUUUUAUUUGGUUUGGGAUUUGUUUUGAUUUGUUUUGUUGUGGGUUUUUUUUAGAGUCUUGCUUUGAGUAUGUGAAACAUCCUUUUACUAUUUUCCCACUAAAGAUUGUCCUUUCAUAGCUAUUGCUUACCUGCAUUACAAAACAAAGGCUAGCAAUUGUGAUUACAGUUCUUAUAGUCCCAGAACUCUGAUAAAACAAAUCCAGUCCCUGUCCAAAGGCAUUAUAAGUUGAAUAAAUAACAGCAACAAUGUAGAUAUACAUCAGUGCUUCCAUAACAAUCGUUAAUGGUUUCUAAAUCGAUUUACAUAAGAAUAUGUUUCUUUGUAGGUGGUUUUGAACUGAACUGUCUCGUAGGAGCAUGUCCACCAGGAAACUGAACAGCUCAGAUGUAAAUGAUUCAGAUGCAUCAUCAGGAACAAUAAGAUCCCAAUGCAUUUAGUCAUAUUUCACUGCCUCCUACAUAAUUAAUUUAAUUUAUUUGCUAUACUCUCAAUCCAUUUCUCCAUUAUUACCAAAAGAAGUGAGGCUUGAAAAUUACCUAAGUACACAUGGACAUAGAAAUUAUGACAGGAGAAUGUACAGAUACAUGAUGUGGUGGGAUUAUUUCAGAUGGCUGUGACCACCCACUUUUUUUUAUGCUAGCUAUCCUGGCUCUCCUCUUUAUUCAAUGAGUCUCUCCUAGGACAGGAAGAAAUGCCCUCUGGCAUUGUUAUAUAUUGGGUUUGGAUCUAAUAAGCCCCCUAAUUCCCAUUGGCUAAGUAUGCUGAAUGCAAGUUACACUAGGCACAGAGCCUUUGGUAAAAUUUAGUACACCUGAGUACAGGCCCAAAGGCUUUAAAUUACUAAAUUCAUUCUUAGGGACCAGAAUUAUGAAGCUCAGGUUAACAAAUCUCUGUAUUCCUGGAUUUGAAGGCAAGCAAAUUUCAUUUUCUUUUAGACAGCUUAUUUGCUAUUAGCAUCACAAAUUUUGUUCAUUAUUGAAUAUUCCAAGGCUGGGCCUUUUCCUAUGUGGCACAUGCUGCUCACACAGCAAAUUAACCUGGGAGCUCUCUAUUUUCUAUUGCUCUAGGCUACAUGGCAACUGAAAGUCUUAGAGGGAACUGAGGGCCCUGAAUGAAAAUUAUUUCUCAGUAUAAAAUAGGUGUUGCUUGGCAUCUGAAUGUGUUAUUGCCAAAAUAAGAACUUCCCUUGUCUGUUUUCCUUCUUUUUCUCUUUUUAAGGACUGCAAUAAAUUACUUUGACAUACACCUUGAUUAUACUAUCAAACUACACGGUGACAUAAAAAGUGCACUUCUUAAAAUCACAAGUAACACUACACAGAGAAGGGCUGCAAGCUCGUUGUAGGACAGGUUUACAAUUCAAAAUUAUUUUAACAAAUUAGGAAAAUACUUCAGAAAAAAAAAUUAAGAUGCCAUUUGAUAAAGGCAGCUGUAAAGUUUAAUACUUGGGCUGGAAGAUUAAGCUGCAAAAAUACUGCAUAGGGAACAAUUUACUAGGCAACAGUAAUGCUGAAAGGAAGCUAGGAACUGUAAUAGCUCACAAACUAAGCUAUUGAAGGAAAGGAAAAGGCCAAAGGGGGAUGAAUAAGUGGAUAUAUUCUCUACUGGAGAUGGGACAAAUGCCUCCCCUUUCAGAAGCUGGGACCACAACAUCAGCUGUAGUUCAUAUUGAAAAGUGCACUUCAAGAAAUAUAAGGAUAAUGGUGCCUAGUGUAAUUUUCCAUUCCUCACUAUAGAUAUUUUCUUUACUUUAAAAAUGUCAAGAAUGUGUACACAGAAUACCAUUGCUAACCAUAUUUGGGAAUAUUAGAAAUAUUUCCGAUCUACAGUUUCCAGUUGUCAUUUCUAGUGUUUUCUGUUUUAUUGUUUCACAUUUAAUGCAGAGGUGACCAAAAAAGAAAUCUCUCAUAUCAGCCUGGAAUUUGACAUAGUUUUAAUAAAAUAUGAGGUAAUUGUUAUUGCUGUAUCCAUUCUACGCAUAAAAUAAUAUUAAAAAUGUAUGUGUAAGUACUGAAAAAUUUCAUUCUACUUUGCUGACCUGAAAUGAAAUGUUUAAUUUCAGCUGGCCAUUAGCUGAGUUGGCCAUCUCAGCCAUUUUGCUGCCCAGUGGGAACCACAAAACCAUGCCUUUGGACAGACUUCAGUUCCUGUUACUUAUUGUUGGCUCAAACAGACAAAAGCUAAGUUUGGUCAGAAACAAAUGAUUUCCUGACAAAGAAAUUUACUGACAGGCUUUUCUUUCACAGAAACUCUGGAGUUAAAAGAAAAUCCUUUUAGUACAGAGAAAGCAUUUGAAACUGAAACAAAGAUCCUCAAUUUUUUCUCUUUAGAGGUGG